GUACACUCCUGCGGGAGGCAGCAGUGGGGAAUUUUGGACAAUGGGCGAAAGCCUGAUCCAGCAAUGCCGCGUGUGUGAAGAAGGCCUUCGGGUUGUAAAGCACUUUUGUCCGGAAAGAAAUCCUUGGCUCUAAUACAGUCGGGGGAUGACGGUACCGGAAGAAUAAGCACCGGCUAACUACGUGCCAGCAGCCGCGGUAAUACGUAGGGUGCGAGCGUUAAUCGGAAUUACUGGGCGUAAAGCGUGCGCAGGCGGUUUGCUAAGACCGAUGUGAAAUCCCCGGGCUCAACCUGGGAACUGCAUUGGUGACUGGCAGGCUAGAGUAUGGCAGAGGGGGGUAGAAUUCCACGUGUAGCAGUGAAAUGCGUAGAGAUGUGGAGGAAUACCGAUGGCGAAGGCAGCCCCCUGGGCCAAUACUGACGCUCAUGCACGAAAGCGUGGGGAGCAAACAGGAUUAGAUACCCCAGUAGUCCCAUG
rnacentral:rRNA from 1 species